rnacentral:rRNA from 1 species
UAGGGAAUCUUCGGCAAUGGACGGAAGUCUGACCGAGCAACGCCGCGUGAGUGAAGAAGGUUUUCGGAUCGUAAAGCUCUGUUGUAAGAGAAGAACAAGUGUGAGAGUGGAAAGUUCACACUGUGACGGUAUCUUACCAGAAAGGGACGGCUAACUACGUGCCAGCAGCCGCGGUAAUACGUAGGUCCCGAGCGUUGUCCGGAUUUAUUGGGCGUAAAGCGAGCGCAGGCGGUUAGAUAAGUCUGAAGUUAAAGGCUGUGGCUUAACCAUAGUACGCUUUGGAAACUGUUUAACUUGAGUGCAAGAGGGGAGAGUGGAAUUCCAUGUGUAGCGGUGAAAUGCGUAGAUAUAUGGAGGAACACCGGUGGCGAAAGCGGCUCUCUGGCUUGUAACUGACGCUGAGGCUCGAAAGCGUGGGGAGCAAACAGGAUUAGAUACCCUGGUAGUCCACGCUGUAAACGAUGAGUGCUAGGUGUUAGACCCUUUCCGGGGUUUAGUGCCGUAGCUAACGCAUUAAGCACUCCGCCUGGGGAGUACGACCGCAAGGUUG